rnacentral:rRNA from 1 species
UGCGCAGGUGGGCUUGUAAGUCAGUGGUGAAAUCUUGCCGCUUAACGGUAAAAUUGCCAUUGAUACUGCAAGUCUUGAGUAUGGUUGAGGUAGGUGGAGUGUGUUGUGUAGCGGUGAAAUGCAUAGAUAUGACACAGAACGCCGAUUGCGAAGGCAACUUACUAAGCCAUUACUGACGCUGAGGCACGAAAGCGUGGGGAGCGAACAGGAUUAGAUACCCUGGUAGUCC